rnacentral:rRNA from 1 species
CAGCCGCCGCGGGAAUACAGAGGGUGCGAGCGUUAAUCGGAAUUACUGGGCGUAAAGCGCGCGUAGGUGGUUUGUUAAGUUGGAUGUGAAAGCCCCGGGCUCAACCUGGGAACUGCAUCCAAAACUGGCAAGCUAGAGUACGGUAGAGGGUGGUGGAAUUUCCUGUGUAGCGGUGAAAUGCGUAGAUAUAGGAAGGAACACCAGUGGCGAAGGCGACCACCUGGACUGAUACUGACACUGAGGUGCGAAAGCGUGGGGAGCAAACAGGAUUAGAUACCCGCGUAGUCCCUGUCUCUUAUAC